GUCAACAUUCGUGAUAUUAUUUCUUUUUGAAAUUUUAACAGCAAUAGUCAGUUAUUAAACUGCUUUUUGCCAAAGCCCAUGCAGCGUACGGUGACACUAAAUUAAACUGGACAAGCUUUAUUUAUGCUGGAUUACUCUAUCAGUGUUUUCCCGGAAUUCCUUUAGGUAAUAUACCAUGAUCGACACGAGCUCAACAUUGAGUUGGAGGAGCGGCGGCUUAAGAAGUGCAAUAUGAUUCGACUUGGAGUUUAUCAUUAAAACUAUGCGAAUUUUGUAAAUGGGAGAAAAUUGUCUCAACCACUUAUAUCCAAAUAUUGUACGUAGCUCUUUCAAUGCUAAAUUUUGUUCUCAUCUAUAUUGGUUCGAGUGUACGUGUGUGGUUGAGUAAACAACUUUCAAAGAAAUCUCAUAAACUGUACGUGAAAGGCAAACAUAUAAAA